rnacentral:rRNA from 1 species
AACGAACGCUGGCGGCAUGCCUAACACAUGCAAGUCGAACGAGACCUUCGGGCCUAGUGGCGCACGGGUGAGUAACGCGUGGGAACCUGCCUUUAGGUUCGGAAUAACUCCCCGAAAGGGGUGCUAAUACCGGAAAAUGUCUUCGGACCAAAGAUUUAUCGCCUUUGGAUGGGCCCGCGUUGGCUUAGCUAGUUGGUAGGGUAAAAGCCUACCAAGGCGACGAUCCAUUGCUGGUCUGAGAGGAUGAUCAGCCACACUGGGACUGAGACACGGCCCAGACUCCUACGGGAGGCAGCAGUAGAGAGUAUUGGGCGAUGGGCGAAAGCCUGAUCCAGCAAUGCCGCGUGAGUGAUGAAGGCCUUAGGAUUGUAAAGCUCUUUUACCCGAGAUGAUAAUGACAGUACCGGGAGAAUAAGCUCCGGCUAACUCCGUG